rnacentral:rRNA from 1 species
UACAGAGGUCCCAAGCGUUGUUCGGAUUCACUGGGCGUAAAGGGUGCGUAGGCGGUCGGGUAAGUCUGAUGUGAAAUCUCACAGCUUAACUGUGAAACUGCAUUGGAUACUAUCCGGCUCGAGGAAUGGAGGGGAGACUGGAAUACUUGGUGUAGCAGUGAAAUGCGUAGAUAUCAAGUGGAACACCAGUGGCGAAGGCGGCAUCCUGGACCAACACUGACACUGAUGAGCGAAAGCCAGGGGAGCAAACGGG